GCAACCGGUUCGGAAACGGCUUUAAGGGUCCGUAAUGGCAGUUGGCCGGUGGCUCUUUUUAAGGGUCGUCGGUUGUUAGCCGUCGGAUCUUGGCUCGUGGCCGGACCGUGGUGUCGCGAGGCCUUUAUAGGCUUCUUCGCCUCCUCCGUUCGCGGACGCCGGGAUCCCGUGGCAGGGGUUCGCACUUCUGCGGGCGCACGGACUGACUCCGUGGCCCAGCGGUCGCAUGCGUCCUCGUUGGCUGCGGUGAACCCGUCGGAGGUUGGCGGUUCGCGGGGAGUAGAUCGGUCACCCACCCGACCCGUCUUGAAACACGGACCAAGGAGUCUAACAUGUGUGCGAGUCAAUGGGUCUCGAUUAAGCCCAGAGGCGCAAUGAAAGCAAAGGCAGGACUCGACGCCUGCCGAGUUGGGAUCCUCCUUCCUUCGCGUUGGAGGCGCACCAACGACCCGUCCUGUCCCAUUUAUGGGUUGGGCGGAGUUU
rnacentral:rRNA from 1 species